UGUGUGUUGGUGUGUGUGUG
rnacentral:miRNA from 1 species